rnacentral:sRNA from 2 species
GUCGCGUAAGCGCCGUAGGCAGGAGCGGGGGAACCAAGGUAAGUUGCCGGAACGGACCGGGGGUCGAUUGGCCUCGGGGACGGGACGGCUAGGGGUGAAGCCGGGUACGCGCAAGCGGACCGGCCGGGCAAACUCACAGCCCGAACCCGACAGCUCACCUCGUAGGCGUCGGUGAGGAAACCG